AAUCCAUAGGUUAAUGAGGCGAACCGGGGGAACUGAAACAUCUAAGUACCCCGAGGAAAAGAAAUCAACCGAGAUUCCCCCAGUAGCGGCGAGCGAACGGGGAGGAGCCCAGAGCCUGAAUCAGCAUGUGUGUUAGUGGAAGCGUCUGGAAAGGCGCGCGAUACAGGGUGACAGCCCCGUACACAAAAGCGCAUGUGCUGUGAGCUCGAUGAGUAGGGCGGGACACGUGGUAUCCUGUCUGAAUAUGGGGGGACCAUCCUCCAAGGCUAAAUACUCCUGACUGACCGAUAGUGAACCAGUACCGUGAGGGAAAGGCGAAAAGAACCCCGGCGAGGGGAGUGAAAAAGAACCUGAAACCGUGUACGUACAAGCAGUGGGAGCCCCACCACUAAGCCAGUGGUGAACUCCACAUCCGCAUCCUUUGCUGAGGAUACGGUUAACGGAGCGAAAGCGACGUUCAACCGCAAAACAAGCAGAGGGGGCUUAGUGGUGGGGUGACUGCGUACCUUUUGUAUAAUGGGUCAGCGACUUAUAUUCUGUAGCAAGGUUAACCG
rnacentral:rRNA from 1 species